UGAGAGAGGGAGAGUUUGCUCAAGGGAAGUCAAGGGGAGUAGAGAAGUGAGAAGAAGAAGAAGAAAAAAAAAGACUUCUUGAAGACGUCAAUCCUCCAUCAACUCAAAUCCCAUGAAAACCCACACAUUUGAAAGGCGUUAACAGUGCUGUUGACAAAAGAGAUAGGGCAUGUCGGUGGGCUUAUGCUUGGCAAGCAUGUCGGUGGUACAUGAACAGUGAAGGAUGUUGUGAGUUGUCUUUUUAUUUUUAUUAAUUUUUUUUUUGUUGAGUUGUCACUAACAUGCAU